rnacentral:rRNA from 2 species
CACGUAGGGGGCGAGCGUUGUCCGGAUUUAUUGGGCGUAAAGAGCUCGUAGGCGGCUCGGUAAGUCGGGUGUGAAAACUCGGGGCUCAACCCCGAGACGCCACUCGAUACUGCUGUGGCUUGAGUCCGGUAGGGGAGCGUGGAAUUCCUGGUGUAGCGGUGAAAUGCGCAGAUAUCAGGAGGAACACCGGUGGCGAAGGCGGCGCUCUGGGCCGGUACUGACGCUGAGGAGCGAAAGCGUGGGGAGCAAACAGG